ACGCACGCUGGCGGCGUGCUUAACACAUGCAAGUCGAACGGAAAGGCCUGCUUUCCCUUGUGGAUUGCGGGUACUCGAGUGGCGAACGGGUGAGUAACACGUGAGUGAUCUGCCCCCAACUUGGGUAUAAGCCUGGGAAACUGGGUCUAAUUCCCGAUAGGACUGCAGGGUGGUGCCUGUGGUGGAAAACGAUUUUCUAGUGGUUGGGGAUGAGCUCGCGGCCUAUCAGCUUGUUGGUGGGGUAAUGGCCUACCAAGGCGGCGACGGGUAGCCGGCCUGAGAGGGUGGACGGGCACAUUGGGACUGAGAUACGGCCCAGACUCCUACGGGAGGCAGCAGUGGGGAAUAUUGCACAAUGGGCGGAAGCCUGAUGCAGCGACGCCGCGUGGGGGAUGACGGCCUUCGGGUUGUAAACUCCUUUCGACCGCGAGGAAGCCACCUGGUUGGAAGGGUGGUGACGGUAGUGGUAGAAGAAGCACCGGCUAACUACGUG
rnacentral:rRNA from 1 species